AAAAGGGACAAUCAUGGUACAACAUGGAUCGGCUAGUUAAGUUUCAUGCUGACUAUAAAGGGAUUAAUGUCAUGAUCUACAAGAAAAGGGACAAUCAUGGUACAACAUGGAUCGGUUAGUUAAGUGUCAUGCUGACUAUAAAGGGAUUAAAGUCAUGAUCUAGAAAAAAAGGGACAAUCAUAGUAUAAUGUGAAUCAGCUAGUUAAGUGCCAAGCUGACUAUAAAGGGAUUAAAGUCAUGAUCUACAAGAAAAGGGACAA